UACGGAGGGUGCAAGCGUUAAUCGGAAUUACUGGGCGUAAAGCGCGCGUAGGCGGAUUAUUAAGUCUCAUGUGAAAGCCCUGGGCUCAACCUGGGAACUGCAUGGGAUACUGGUAGUCUAGAAUACAGUAGAGGGUAGUGGAAUUUCAGGUGUAGCGGUGAAAUGCGUAGAGAUCUGAAGGAACAUCAGUGGCGAAGGCG
rnacentral:rRNA from 1 species